rnacentral:sRNA from 1 species
UGAAUAUAUAUUAAUCAAUUAGCAAAAAAUGUGUGGGUGCAACGUUCCGCAUCGACAAAAAUAUUUAGACAAUGAUUUAUAAACAUAUCAUAAAUAAGAUCAAUAUUAAUAUAAAUAAAUGGUUUUUUUACGGGACGGGUUUGGCGGGAUGGGUUUGGCAGGACGUUACUUAAUAACAAUUGUAAACUAUAAAAUAAAAAUAUAUUAUAAAUAGAUACAAUUUGCAAAAAAAAAGUUAUACGAACUUUAAAAAGAUAAAUUGUUACCGCGGUGUACCGCGGGAUAAAAUCUAGUCUCUAUAGAUAUUCAGAGCAAUAAUUGUAUUCAACAGUAAACUAAUCUAUACUAUAUAAAAAGAAAAUCCAAAACCUCAGAAAUUAAAUCUUAAAAUUGUCA